AAACUAAGAAAAACACAUAGUCAGCUAAAGAUUCCGCUGUUUCCAUUUUAAUAAAGACAAUAACCAAUCCAACCCAAACCACUCUUCCCCCUUUCAUCUUCGCUGCAAUAAAAUCAAAAACUCUAGUUUCUCAUAAACUCCACUACUCUCUCAUUUUUCUCAAUCGGUGGGAGAAAAUCAUCCCUAAUUAAGACCUCAUUCCAAUUUCAAGCACCGACCAUUAUCUCCAAUCUGAUUCCGGUGGAAGAACCUCAAAGUAACCUGAUUCAGGUAUUGGUCAAGAACCUCUCUCCUCACUAUAUGUUGGAUGGAGAGAUCAUCUUCAUCUUCGUUACCCUCCCGUCAAUGAUGUCUUGCGGCAAGUUGAGAGGAGGUUACGUCAUCUUCAUCUUCUUCACCCUCCCUAAGCGAGAGUUUCGUCGGCGCCUCUCCUGCCGGACCUCCACCGAUGACGGCGACGCGGAUGUUACAGUUAACAAGCUUGGGACUGGCUCUGGAUGUGGUUACUUUGAGAGAUCUUCAUAAUUGGAGUCAAGAGUCCCCGACGUGGAAGAUUAUAAAUAAUACACCAUUUCCAAAGUUCAUUCUUAAGCUAAACUCAGGGAGAAACUUGAAAAGAAGAUAAAGAUAACAACAAGAACAAAAGCGAUGAAGACAAGAACAUCAAAAUAAUACAAAGGAGAAGAAACCCAAAGCGGUGUUGGUAAAACUACAACGAGUACAAAGCAUGCUUAUUAUCAUCAGAAGAAAGACUACAAACCAGCUCUAGUAUGUGUGGAUACUCUCAGGGCUGGUGUGAUCCAUCAACUGAAACAGAUUGCUACCAAGGCGGUGUGUGGAUAGCUGGUACGUGGAUGGGUUCUGUGUGGACGGUUGAUGUGGGGAUGGGUGAUAUGUGGAUGGGGCGUCGUGGUAUUGCUCAGUGUGGACAAGAUCUCCGAGGACUAGUGGGUGCAGGUGAGCCGUCCAUAACCAAUUGACCGAUUAAUAACAUUGCAGUUGAUGUUACAAUAGUGGGAGCUAUGUCAUAGUUAUAAAUCUGCAUACAAAGACCUCUUUUGGUGUCCUAUAUGUAACAUUUUUUGUUUCCUCUUUUGAGUUUACAGUAUAGAUUGUUAUUUUGUAGUUGCAUAUCACUCCAAUCUAUUAUGCAACUUGCACUAUAAGAA